rnacentral:rRNA from 1 species
UACGAAGGGGGCUAGCGUUGCUCGGAAUCAUUGGGCGUAAAGCGCACGUAGGCGGGCUGCCAAGUCUGGGGUGAAAUCCCACGGCUCAACCGUGGAACUGCCUCGGAUACUGGCGGCCUCGAGGGAGGUAGGGGCAUGCGGAACUGUGGGUGGAGCGGUGAAAUGCGUUGAUAUCCACAGGAACUCCGGUGGCGAAGGCGGCAUGCUGGACCUCUUCUGACGCUGAGGCGCGAAAGCCAGGGGAGCAAACGGG